rnacentral:lncRNA from 1 species
UAUUGACAGGAAGCCCAUCUAAUGAUGGACGUCAUAAAUUUUAAACAUCCUCUCGAUAAUUGUAUAUCAUUCUUAUCGGUUACCUGCUAUCUCUAAAGAUGUCAUGCCCUGUAGAGACGAAGUAACGAAGUAAACUCACCUAGAAAAAAAGGAAACAAACAGCAAUAAUAAGUAAAAAUUCGAACAUAUAACUCCAAUUAACUUAAAUAUAAAUUUUAACAUAUCUUAAUAUUAAAAAAAAAGGACUGAUUGACGCUAGUGGCGUGCGAUAAUAAGAUAAAAACCUGUCUAGUAAGGGCCCCAACAGCGUAUUUAUUGCAAGGUAACACGGGAAUCUUAACCAUAAUUCCCUCCUACGAAAGAAAUACAAGGAAAAAAUAUAGAUAUAUAUAAAGUGAAAGUACAGGUGUGUAAAUCUCCAUACUAGUUAUAAACCAGCUGCUCGGUUAUAUUAUCCACCUGGUUAUUCGAUACCGAAAGAACUUGAAAUGUUUCCUUUUAAUAACCCACACGUCAUUCGCAUCUUAUACAGAGAGAUUACACGCGUGAUGGAUCGAAUGCUAGACAUUUUCGACCGACUAUCGAAUGUCGCGACCUUGUCCGGUAAAUUAUGCAUACGAACAUAUAUUAUAUCCGAAAAACAAACGAAAAUAUAUCACUUACACAACAUUAAAGAUCUGUUAUUCUUCUCUGUUCCUGUGGGAAAUGACACAUUGGAACGGAACAGAAGAAAAAUUUUUCACAGCAGUCUGUUUCCUCUAUCGCCAGAAACUCAUGACGUUGACGUAAACAGACUUAAUUACAACAUAAGUUCUGACGUCCUUACACAGAAUGGCGGUUGGUAUAUUGAAUAUAACGUUCAAGAGGAUACCAAAAAGGACUUCUUUAAGAGAGAGAGAGAGAGACACGUGAUGAAAG